rfam:Populus trichocarpa scaffold_6_contig_102, whole genome shotgun sequence.
AGAGCACUAUUGAUUAGUUGGUUAAAUUAUUAUCCUUGCACUUUGAUUUUGUAAUGAAGAAAAUUUUAGGGACAAAUUUGUUUAGAAAUCAUC